rnacentral:rRNA from 1 species
AUUGAACGCUGGCGGCAGGCCUAACACAUGCCAGUCGAGCGGAUGAAGGGAGCUUGCUCCCGGAUUCAGCGGCGGACGGGUGAGUAAUGCCUAGGAAUCUGCCUGGUAGUGGGGGAUAACGCCCGGAAACGGGCGCUAAUACCGCAUACGUCCUGAGGGAGAAAGUGGGGGAUCUUCGGACCUCACGCUAUCAGAUGAGCCUAGGUCGGAUUAGCUAGUUGGUGGGGUAAAGGCCUACCAAGGCGACGAUCCGUAACUGGUCUGAGAGGAUGAUCAGUCACACUGGAACUGAGACACGGUCCAGACUCCUACGGGAGGCAGCAGUGGGGAAUAUUGGACAAUGGGCGAAAGCCUGAUCCAGCCAUGCCGCGUGUGUGAAGAAGGUCUUCGGAUUGUAAAGCACUUUAAGUUGGGAGGAAGGGCAGUAAGUUAAUACCUUGCUGUUUUGACGUUACCAACAGAAUAAGCACCGGCUAACUUCGUG